rnacentral:rRNA from 1 species
UACGGGGGGGAGCAAGCGUUGUUCGGAUUUACUGGGCGUAAAGGGCGCGUAGGCGGUCGUGACAAGUCACUUGUGAAAUCUCCGGGCUUAACUCGGAACGGUCAAGUGAUACUGUCGGACUAGAGUACAGAAGGGGCAACUGGAAUUCUCGGUGUAGCGGUGAAAUGCGUAGAUAUCGAGAGGAACACCUGCGGCGAAGGCGGGUUGCUGGGCUGAUACUGACGCUGGAGGAGCGAAAGCGUGGGGAGCGAACAGG